CUGUAACCAUACCACCUUGAACACCUGCUUGAUCUUGGAAGCUAAGCAGGGUCUGGCCUGGUUAGUACUUGGAUGAGAGAAAUAAUAGGUUGAAUUACAGG
ensembl:rRNA 5S_rRNA 5S ribosomal RNA